AAACCUCUUUUAGCAGGGAAGAAGCGAAAGUGACGGUACCUGCAGAAAAAGCACGGGCUAACUACGUGCCAGCAGCCGCGGUAAUACGUAGGGUGCAAGCGUUGUCCGGAAUUAUUGGGCGUAAAGAGCUCGUAGGCGGUUUGUCGCGUCUGCUGUGAAAUCCCGAGGCUCAACCUCGGGUCUGCAGUGGGUACGGGCAGACUAGAGUGCGGUAGGGGAGAUUGGAAUUCCUGGUGUAGCGGUGGAAUGCGCAGAUAUCAGGAGGAACACCGAUGGCGAAGGCAGAUCUCUGGGCCGCUACUGACGCUGAGGAGCGAAAGGGUGGGGAGCAAACAGGCUUAGAUACCCUGGUAGUCCACCCCGUAAACGUUGGGCGCUAGAUGUGGGGACCAUUCCACGGUUUCCGUGUCGUAGCUAACGCAUUAAGCGCCCCGCCUGGGGAGUACGGCCGCAAGGCUAAAACUCAAAGGAAUUGACGGGGGCCCGCACAAGCGGCGGAGCAUGCGGAUUAAUUCGAUGCAACGCGAAGAACCUUACCAAGGCUUGACAUAUACGAGAACGGGCCAGAAAUGGUCAACUCUUUGGACACUCGUAAACAGGUGGUGCAUGGUUGUCGUCAGCUCGUGUCGUGAGAUGUUGGGUUAAGUCCCGCAACGAGCGCAACCCUCGUUCUAUGUUGCCAGCACGUAAUGGUGGGAACUCAUGGGAUACUGCCGGGGUCAACUCGGAGGAAGGUGGGGACGACGUCAAAUCAUCAUGCCCCUUAUGUCUUGGGCUUCACGCAUGCUACAAUGGCCAGUACAAAGGGCUGCAAUACCGUAAGGUGGAGCGAAUCCCAAAAAGCUGGUCCCAGUUCGGAUUGAGGUCUGCAACUCGACCUCAUGAAGUCGGAGUCGCUAGUAAUCGCAGAUCAGCAACGCUGCGGUGAAUACGUUCCCGGGCCUUGUACACACCGCCCGUCAAGUCAUGAAAGUCGGUAACACCCGAAGCCAGUGGCCUAACCGCAAGGAUGGAGCUGUCUAA
rnacentral:rRNA from 1 species